rnacentral:rRNA from 1 species
CCUACGGGGGGCUGCAGUGGGGGAUUUUGCACAAUGGGGGGAACUCUGAUGCAGCGACGCCGCGUGGGUGAAGAAGCGCCUCGGCGCGUAAAGCCCUGUCAGCAGGGAAGAAAAUGACGGUACCUGAAGAAGAAGCCCCGGCUAACUACGUGCCAGCAGCCGCGGUAAUACGUAGGGGGCAAGCGUUAUCCGGAUUUACUGGGUGUAACGGGGGCGCAGACGGCGAUGCAAGCCAGGAGUGAAAGCCCGGGGCCCAACCCCGGGACUGCACUUGGAACUGCGUGGCUGGAGUGCAGGAGGGGCAGGCGGAAUGCCUGGGGUAGCGGUGAAAUGCGUAGAGAUCAGGAGGAACACCGGUGGCGAAGGCGGCCUGCUGGACUGCAACUGACGUUGAGGCCCGAAAGCGUGGGGAGCAAACAGGAUUAGAUACCCUUGUAGUC